CCUACGGGAGGCAGCAGUGGGGAAUAUUGGUCAAUGGCCGGAAGGCUGAACCAGCCAUGCCGCGUGAAGGUCAGUGCCCUAUGGGUUGUAAACUUCUUUUAUAUGGGAAUAAAAUGCUCCACGUGUGGGAUUUUGUAUGUACCAUAUGAAUAAGGAUCGGCUAACUCCGUGCCAGCAGCCGCGGUAAUACGGAGGAUACGAGCGUUAUUCGGAUUUAUUGGGUUUAAAGGGAGCGUAGGUGGAUUGUUAAGUCAGUUGUGAAAUUUUGCGGCUCAACCGUAAAAUUGCAGUUGAAACGGGCAGUCUUGAGUACAGUAGAGGUGGGCGGAAGUCGUGGUGUAGCGGUGAAAUGCUUAGAUAUCACGAAGAACUCCGAUUGCGAAGGCAGCUCACUGGACUGCAACUGACACUGAGGCUCGAAAGUGUGGGGAUCAAACAGGAUUAGAUACCCUUGUAGUC
rnacentral:rRNA from 1 species